UACGAAGGGGGCUAGCGUUGCUCGGAAUCACUGGGCGUAAAGGGCGCGUAGGCGGCGUUUUAAGUCGGGGGUGAAAGCCUGUGGCUCAACCACAGAAUGGCCUUCGAUACUGGGACGCUUGAGUAUGGUAGAGGUUGGUGGAACUGCGAGUGUAGAGGUGAAAUUCGUAGAUAUUCGCAAGAACACCGGUGGCGAAGGCGGCCAACUGGAUCAUUACUGACGCUGAGGCGCGAAAGCGUGGGGAGCAAACAGG
rnacentral:rRNA from 1 species